CCUUUCCCAUCUGGCAGGACUGGCCUCUGAUGCUGAAUCUGGGAGACCUGGGUUAAACCGGCAUGUUGCCUGCCUGCACCUCUGGGCUCUGAGAUUUAUGUUCGUGUGUCGGAAUUCACAGAGCAGAGUCCCUUACUGAAGACAACCGUGGAGCUGAGUCCAUGGGCACAUCCUCUGUCCAUAUGGAGUUUUGUACUAAGAAGUUCAGUAAUAUUUCUUGUAAAACCGUGGUGGAAUGUAUUGCCUACUACAAGGAGCAAUAAAUCCCCGCACGAGUUCCAUUCCAGGAAAUAUUUAGUCUCUACAAUCGGAGGCAUCUGUUUUCUGUUGUCAGAAAUUUAAAUCUGCGUAACCUGGGCUCUCUUUUGGUGUGCCAGAAAACUUAGAAUCAGAUGUAUUAGCCAAGAAUGCUUAGCUCUGCUGUCAGAGACUCUGAACCCCUAUCGCUCCCCUUAAGCGGAUUCUUUUCCUUAACCCCUGAAUGAAAGACGUUCUUGACUGGUUUGUUCUCUAACAACCUAAGAGACUGCUAGGGAGGAGGACUCAGAACUACGACACAUAAUGGCUUCUGAUAACUUGGUUGUCACCUUCCAGUAUUUACCCACACCUUUUUACAAAGCUGCAAUUUUCACUUAACGUGAGAAAGAUCGAUAAAUCCUGUCUGUUCUACCUUCGCUCUGGACCUUCUUGAUUCCCAUUAUUUCUGUCUUGUUCAGACCCCAUACUUUCCGCCCAGGAUAACCGCAAUCUUCUGUUCCAGACUCUGCAGCCAGACUUUCAUCUGCCAAUCCAGCUUCCAAAUUACCACGAGAGCAAUCUUUCUAAAAUUCAUAUGGAAGUGAGACCAGCAAGGUCAGCUUGCUCACUUGCUUGCCUGAAGACACAGUGAUUAAAGGAAGAAGUGAGAUUCAAAGCAUGCCUUUCGAUUCUAGAUUCUGUGAUCUCUGCUCCUCCCUGCCCCCUCCUUGGCAGGUCAGCGAGCUGCAGGCCGAGGGUUGACCCUGGAGUAGUCUCCGUAGGGGACAGGAGGUCGGGAGAAACAGCUCACUCCGCUUGUCCCUUGCAGACACACCAACAUGAGCUCUCCACCAACAAGCCUCAUCGUUUCCAUUACUGGAAGGAUUCUUUUGCUCUUGGAAAAAUCCAGGAGGGCAGAGAUGAUUUAAUCUCAGGUCAGAUGAGGAAAGACACAGUAAUUCUGGCUUUAGCUUUGGGCGCUCUCUGACAUGUGGUUUGCGAUGGAACCCUGCUGCGACCAGCACAGACAUCGCUGUCCUUGCUGCGCAGCAGGAGAAGCCCCGGUGAGUGCAGGAGGGAGUCCUAGAUCCCUGGCAUGGAGCAGAGAGCCCGCACAGCUGCAGUCUGUGACCCUGCUGGCUUCCAGGGAGGAAUGGACUCUGGCCGUGCGACAUCAAAUGUGAGCGCCACUGCGGAUUAGCACCUGAGGAAAGUUUUUUUUUUAAACAAAAUUUUAUGGAAAAAAAUGGAGUAGAUGUAAAAGGCAACACAUAAAACUAGGGUACAAAGUUUUCUUUCUAGGAAUAAAAAUGGUACCAGAUGGAAGCAGAGAGAGAGAAAAUAAAAAUGAAAGUAGUGGGUAGGGGAAAGGGAGGAUGGAGAAGGGAGAGCAGUAAACGGGAGUUGAGAGGGAGAAUGUGGGCGAAGAAAGACGACUUGGAAAAGAUGGAACUGCAAGAAAAAAAAGAACAGAGCAGAUCGGGGAAGAGGCGCCUGGGCAGGAACUGAGAGGCGCCAGUACGAGUGGUCCACGCGGCUCCACACCGGCCUGCGUGCAGUCUGCUCAAGGCUCUGUGGCAAUCUGGCUCUGGAGACUGCUUAAAACAUCACCGCAUCUGAGCUCAAGAUUCCCUGUAAAAUACGCCGUUCGACAGAGAGAAGCCCAGCGGUGGGCUUAAACAUUCUUUCUUGGGAGCAGGGCGGUGAGAAGCCACCUAGUGAGCAGGGAAGUGAUGCAGAUGUCUUCAGAUGGAAAAUUCAUAACUCCUCUGGCAGAAGUUGCCCACAGCAACCGUCAGCUGUUGGGGGAAGUUGAUCUUCCCAUGGGCACUGCCCAGAAUUUACAGGAAGAUGAAGAAGAUGCCGAUUGUCCUCAUUAUGCACUGUGAGUGCUCGGGCCUGCUGCCUCCUUCCUGUGGCCUCCCCUACAACGUGGCCUUCAUCUGGACUCUGAGCUCUCUCUAUCUUCCUCCACAUGCACAGAUGGUAAUGUUGGCCAGGGCGAUGGCCUGUGGGCAUUGCCAGGGGCCACCUGGAGUCAGAGUGCUCAGAGCUGGGGCUUUGGAGAAAUAGCUGCCAACACAUGUUUGUCUUCCCCUGGAUUAGGCGCCAUGCCGAGUUCUCCACCUGUGUGACCUCACUGAGUCCUCA
rnacentral:lncRNA from 1 species